UACGAGGGGGGCAAAUGUUGUUCGGAAUCACUGGGCGUAAAGGGAGCGUAGGCGGGUUCUUAAGUUAGGUGUUUAAUCCCGGGGCCCAACCCCGGACCGGCACUUAAAACUGGGAAUCUUGAAUAGUGGAGAGGUCAGUGGAAUUGGGGGUGUAGCGGUGGAAUGCGUAGAGAUCCCCAAGAACACCAGUUGCGAAGGCGGCUGACUGGACACAUAUUGACGCUGAGGCUCGAAAGCAUGGGGAGCAAACAGGG
rnacentral:rRNA from 1 species